rnacentral:rRNA from 1 species
GCAGCCGCCGCGGGAAUACGAAGGGUGCAAGCGUUAAUCGGAAUUACUGGGCGUAAAGCGUGCGUAGGCGGUGAGUUAAGUCUGCUGUGAAAUCCCCGGGCUCAACCUGGGAAUGGCAGUGGAUACUGGCUCGCUAGAGUGUGUCAGAGGAUGGUGGAAUUCCCGGUGUAGCGGUGAAAUGCGUAGAGAUCGGGAGGAACAUCAGUGGCGAAGGCGGCCAUCUGGGACAACACUGACGCUGAGGCACGAAAGCGUGGGGAGCAAACAGGAUUAGAUACCCCCGUAGUCCCUGUCUCUUAUAC